UACGUAGGUGGCAAGCGUUGUCCGGAAUUUAUUGGGCGUAAAGCGCGCGCAGGCGGUCCUUUAAGUCUGAUGUGAAAGCCCACGGCUCAACCGUGGAGGGUCAUUGGAAACUGGGGGACUUGAGAUGCAGGAGGAGAAGAGUGGAAUUCCACGUGUAGCGGUGAAAUGCGUAGAGAUGUGGAGGAACACCAGUGGCGAAGGCGACU
rnacentral:rRNA from 1 species